UACGGGGGGGCAAGCGUUGUUCGGAAUUCCUGGGCGUAAAGGGCUCGUAGGCUGCCAACUAAGUCGGAUGUGAAAUCCCCAGGCUCAACCUGGGAACUGCAUCCGAUACUGGAUGGCUUGAAUUCGGGAGAGGGAUGCAGAAUUCCAGGUGUAGCGGUGAAAUGCGUAGAUAUCUGGAGGAAUACCGGUGGCGAAGGCGGCAUCCUGGACCGACAUUGACGCUGAUGAGCGAAAGCUAGGGGAGCGAACAGG
rnacentral:rRNA from 1 species